rnacentral:lncRNA from 1 species
UCCGUGUGAGAAGUACCUCAGUACUAAGGACCUGAGUGUAUUGCCUAGAGUGAGAGGACAAGAAGUGAAAGGAAAAGUAUGGACAAGGCACUUGUCCCUGGGAGUUUUGAUUUUAAGAAAACAAUCCUAGAUGAGGAAAAGAAAUAUGAACUCGGUCUCAAUAAGGAUUUCUGACCGGAGGGAAGCACCUCCAUGAGUACUGAGUUCUUCAAACACAGGGGUUGAGCCUAAGUACACUCCAGGAAAAAUCCUCCUGCUGACUAAUCUCCCUCUCAGAGUCUGCUUCCAAGGGAACCCAACCUAUGACAAUGCUCAACACAGUAAUCAUCAGGAAAAUGCAAAUGAAAACCAUAAGGAGAUGCCACUUCACAUCAGCCCAAAGGGCUUUGAAGAAAGACUGAUGAAACCAAAUGCUGGUGAAGAUGUGGAAAAAGUGGAGCUCUCAUACACUGGUGGUGAGGGUACAAAAUUGUACCCUCAUAUUGGAGAAUUGUUUGGCAGCUUCUAAGAAGGUCAAAUACAUAUCUAACCUAUGACCCAGCAAUUCCAUCCUUAACCAAUCCUUACCCAAG